rnacentral:lncRNA from 1 species
ACUCCAUUGCCCCCUCAUUUAUGGCCGGCGGAGAGAGAGGGAGGAGAGAGAAGGGUUAACCUGGGAAAAAGUGGAGAGGGGGACCACUUUUAACACCUUUAGCAAGUUUUAACACCCCCUCCAUGUGUUUAUGAAAAAUGGGGUGUUAAACUUUAACACCCAACUUUUAACACAAGUGUUUGGAUAGGAAAGUGUUAAAAAGUGUUAAAAGUGGGGUGUUAAACUUUAACACCCCCUUCCCAAACAGGGCCUAAAAGUGGGCUCCCUCUCCACUUUUUUCCACCAUUACCCCCUUCUCUCUCCUCCCUCUCUCUUCGCCGGCCAUAAAUG